rnacentral:rRNA from 1 species
CGCGGCCUAUCAGCUUGUUGGUGAGGUAAUGGCUCACCGAGGCGACGACGGGUAGCCGGCCUGAGAGGGCGACCGGCCACACUGGGACUGAGACACGGCCCAGACUCCUACGGGAGGCAGCAGUGGGGAAUAUUGCACAAUGGGCGAAAGCCUGAUGCAGCGACGCCGCGUGAGGGAUGACGGCCUUCGGGUUGUAAACCUCUUUCAGCUCCGAAGAAGCGAGAGUGACGGUAGGAGCAGAAGAAGCACCGGCUAACUACGUGCCAGCAGCCGCGGUAAUACGUAGGGUGCAAGCGUUGUCCGGAAUUAUUGGGCGUAAAGAGCUCGUAGGUGGUUCGUCGCGUCUGCUGUGAAAGUCCGAGGCUUAACCUCGGAUCUGCAGUGGGUACGGGCGGACUAGAGUGCGGUAGAGGAGAUGGGAAUUCCUGGUGUAGCGGUGGAAUGCGCAGAUAUCAGGAGGAACACCGGUGGCGAAGGCGCAUCUCUGGGCCGUAACUGACGCUGAGGAGCGAAAGCAUGGGGAGCGAACAGGCUUAGAUACCCUGGUAGUCCAUGCCGUAAACGUUGGGCGCUAGGUGUGGGGUCCUAUCCACGGAUUCCGUGCCGCAGCUAACGCAUUAAGCGCCCCGCCUGGGGAGUACGG